rnacentral:rRNA from 1 species
ACGGGGGCCCGCACAAGCGGUGGAGCAUGUGGUUUAAUUUGAAGCAACGCGAAGAACCUUACCAGGUCUUGACAUUCCUUUGAACACCCUAGAAAUAAGGUUUUCCCUUCGGGGACAACGGUGACAGGUGGUGCAUGGUUGUCGUCAGCUCGUUUCGAGAGAUGUUGGGUUAAGUCCCGCAACGAGCGCACCCCUUGUUUUUAGUUCCCAUCAUUUAGUUGGGCACUUUAAGGUGACUGCCGGUGACAAACCGGAGGAAGGUGGGGAUGACUUCAAAUCAUCAUGCCCCUUAUGACCUGGGUUACACACGUGUUACAAUGGACGAUACAAACGGUUGCCAACUCGCGAGAGGGAGUUAAUCCGAUAAAGUCGUUUUCAGUUCGGAUUGUAGUCUGCAAUUCGCCUCCAUGAAGCCGGAAUCGUUAGUAAUCGCGGAUCAGCAUGCCGCGGUGAAUACGUUCCCGGCCCUUG